GUAGGUGGCUUGUAAAGUGAAUAGUGAAACCUGGUGGCUCAACCAUACAGACUAUUAUUCAAACUCACAAGCUCGAGAGUAGCAGAGGUAACUGGAAUUUCUUGUGUAGGAGUGAAAUCCGUAGAUAUAAGAAGGAACACCAAUGGCGUAGGCAGGUUACUGGGCUAUUUCUGACACUGAGGCACGAAAGCGUGGGGAGCGAACCGGAUUAGAUACCCGGGUAGUCCACGCCGUAAACGAUGGAUACUAGCUGUUGGAGGUAUCGACCCCUUCAGUAGCGAAGCUAACGCGUUAAGUAUCCCGCCUGUGGAGUACGGUCGCAAGACUAAAACAUAAAGGAAUUGACGGGGACCCGCACAAGCGGUGGAUCGUGUUCUUUAAUUCGAUGAUAAACGAAGAACCUUACCAGGGUUUGACAUCCCUGGAAUUUCUGUGAAAGCAGAGAGUGCUUUAUUGAGCCAAGUGACAGGUGAUGCAUGGCCGUCGUCAGCUCGUGUCGUGAGAUGUUUGGUUAAGUCCAUCAACGAGCGCAACCCNUUGUGAAUAGUUGUAUUUNUCUAUUCAGACUGCCCCGGUAACGGGGAGGAAGGAGGGGGAUGAUGUCAGGUCCAGCUAUUUCCCUUACACCCCUGGGCCUAGAANCACNCAUACANGUGGUUUAGUACNAUNNCGCCAUCCGNAGCCGCGGAGGGUGGANGCAAAUCCNCAUCCAAC
rnacentral:rRNA from 1 species